GCCAAUGAAUGAUGACAUUAAAAGGCCGAAUUGCAGUGCUUCUGGUUAUAACAGUUUGCUCUCGUAGCUGGAGGCACCGUGACAAAACCAGCUGAAGCGAAAUUAAGUCUGACUAUGGC